rnacentral:misc_RNA from 1 species
GCAACAAUGCAGGAAUUUUAUUCCUUGUAUUUUAUCAUCACUUUUAGUAGAUAAGUUUAUUUGGUGAAUUCCCUUUAGUAAUUUUACCCAUGCUUUCUGCCAUUAAAAGUAUUUCAAUAUUUUUGUUUUAUUUCAUAGGUAAGUGAAUUUACUGAUUUGCAUUUUUUAUUCUCUCAUUUUUGUUACCAGUAUCUAUGAGUGAUUCUUGUGUAAAAUUGAGAAUUCAAGAGUGAAUUUAGUUCAUGUAUUUGUUAAAAAUAAAUAUAUUUUUAAUAUUC